rnacentral:ncRNA from 1 species
GCAGUAGCAUGGAUAUUUUGUACCCAUUGAGCAAACAUAGGUUGUAAUUGUAUGGCAGCGGCGAAUGGGUGAGUAACUCGUAAGAACCUGCCCUUUGGAGGGGAACAACAACUAGAAACGGUUGCUAAUACCCCAUAGGCUGAGGAGCAAAAGGAGAAAUCUGCCCAAGGAGGGGCUCGCGUUUGAUUAGCUAGUUGGUGAGGUAAUGACUUACCAAGGCGAUGAUCAGUAGCUGGUCCGAGAGGAUGAUCAGCCACACUGGGACUGAGACACGGCCCAGACUCCUACGGGAGGCAGCAGUGGGGAAUUUUCCGCUAUUUUUGCAACAUUAGCCGCAGC